ACGCUAUUCGUAUGAUGGCUAUGUAAACCGUAUAUUCUUUUGUAUGAUUUUAUUUUAAAUUAGGAACCUUGAAUCUCAGAUAUUUUAGGGUACGUAAGCUUAUGAACAGUGUGGAUCGACUACCUGACAGUCAUAGAAACAUAACAAAAUAUUAUAUUAUGUCUGUAUAAAAUUGAACUGUAUUUCCCUAAAGUAUAUAUAAUAUUUUUUAAAAAAAUUAAUUGUAG